AAGGCUUUAGCUUAAUUAAAGUAUCUGUUUUGCAUGCAGGAGAUGUGGGUUAGUGCCCCGCAAGUUUUA
rnacentral:tRNA from 1 species